AAAAGUUUGUUCCUUGAAAAUUUUGAACCUUGCAUUGAAUUUUCAAAAUUUGUAAAAAUACAGUCAGAUUUCAAAGAGCGAAGCAUUGGUGAAAUUAAAUCUUACAUUGUGCUUUAUUGUCAGGAAAUAAGUCGAAGUUUGGAUCUCAUGAACAUUACUGAGGAUAACAUCUCGUCCCGAACAAUCGUUACUAAUUCUUUAGACUCACUUCUUGUUGUUCUUGUUGAAUGCUAUACAGGAUAUUUAGCUGAGUUUGGAUUUUUAUUUGGUGCAUCCAGGAAAAACAAACUGUGUGUUAUAUUCAAAAGUUUUAUUUCAUUAAAUGGAAAAAAGGU